rnacentral:rRNA from 1 species
CCCUUAGAUGUUCUGGGCUGCACGCGCGCUACACUGGUGCGUUCAGCGAGUUUAGCACCUUCACAGAUAUGUUUGGGUAAUCUUCUGAAAACGCACCGUGAUGGGGAUCGAUUAUUGUAAUUAUUAAUCGUCAACGAGGAAUUCCUAGUAAGUGUGAAUCAUCAGUUCGCGCUGAUUACGUCCCUGCCCUUUGUACACACCGCCCGUCGCUGCUACCGAUUGAGUGGUCCGGUGAAUUAUUCGGACCGGUGGACUGUGGGGAAACCCGCGGCCUGCUGGGAAGUCUUGUGAACCUUAUCACUUAGAGGAAGCAGAAGUCGUAACA